rnacentral:rRNA from 1 species
AGUGAACGCUGGCGGUAGGCCUAACACAUGCAAGUCGAACGGCAGCACAGUAAGAGCUUGCUCUUACGGGUGGCGAGUGGCGGACGGGUGAGGAAUACAUCGGAAUCUACUUUUUCGUGGGGGAUAACGUAGGGAAACUUACGCUAAUACCGCAUACGACCUACGGGUGAAAGCAGGGGAUCUUCGGACCUUGCGCGAUUGAAUGAGCCGAUGUCGGAUUAGCUAGUUGGCGGGGUAAAGGCCCACCAAGGCGACGAUCCGUAGCUGGUCUGAGAGGAUGAUCAGCCACACUGGAACUGAGACACGGUCCAGACUCCUACGGGAGGCAGCAGUGGGGAAUAUUGGACAAAGGGCGCAAGCCUGAUCCAGCCAUACCGCGUGGGUGAAGAAGGCCUUCGGGUUGUAAAGCCUUUUUGUUGGGAAAGAAAAGCAGCAGGUUAAUACCCCGCUGUUCUGACGGUACCCAAAGAAUAAGCACCGGCUAACUUCGUG